UACGGAGGGUGCAAGCGUUAAUCGGAAUCACUGGGCGUAAAGCGCACGUAGGCUGUUUGGUAAGUCAGGGGUGAAAGCCCGCGGCUCAACUGCGGAAUUGCCCUUGAUACUGCUGGACUUGAGUUCGGGAGAGGGUGGCGGAAUUCCAGGUGUAGGAGUGAAAUCCGUAGAUAUCUGGAGGAACAUCAGUGGCGAAGGCGGCCACCUGGACCGAUACUGACGCUGAGGUGCGAAAGCGUGGGGAGCAAACAGG
rnacentral:rRNA from 1 species